GGCUCAGUGGUCUAGUCGUAUGAUUGCUGCUUCGGGAGAUCAAACAAAUCCCGCUCUGGAACAUCAAAUCCAGAGUUGCCACUCAGUGUGCUAAAUGUAGCAGGUCCCGGGUUCAAAUCCCGGCUGAGCCC